GAAAUGCGAUAAUUAAUGUGAAUUGCAGAAUUCAGUGAAUCAUCGAGUCUUUGAACGCACAUUGCGCCCCCUGGUAUUCCGGGGGGCAUGCCUGUCCGAGCGUCAUUGCUGCCCUCAAGCACAGCUUGUGUGUUGGGCUUCCGUCCCUGGCAACGGGGACGGGCCCAAAAGGCAGUGGCGGCACCAUGUCUGGUCCUCGAGCGUAUGGGGCUUUGUCACCCGCUCCCGUAGGUCCAGCUGGCAGCUAGCCUCGCAACCAAUCUUUUUAACCAGGUUGACCUCGGAUCAGGUAGGGAUACCCGCUGAACUUAAGC
rnacentral:misc_RNA from 1 species